GGAGAGAUGUCCGAGCGGUUUAAGGAGCUGGUCUUGAAAACCAGUGAUGCCGGAAACGGCACCGUGGGUUCGAAUCCCACUCUCUCCGCCA
rnacentral:tRNA from 1 species